GACGAACCGUGCGAACGUUGUUCGGAAUCACUGGGCUUAAAGGGCGCGUAGGCGGGCUGGAAAGUCCGUGGUGAAAUCCCCCGGCCCAACCGGGGAACGGCCUCGGAUACUUUCGGCCUGGAGGCGGGUAGGGGCGAGCGGAACUGUGGGUGGAGCGGUGAAAUGCGUUGAGAUCGGAAGGAACGCCCGUGGCGAAAGCGAGGUCCUGGACGUCUACUGACGCUGAGACGCGAAAGCUAGGGGAGCAAACGGG
rnacentral:rRNA from 1 species